UUCACAGUGAUCUAUACAUUGGCCAUAACAAAACAAGAUAAUAGUUAAUAGCAACCAUGGGCAGAUGCUGCAUUUUUUAAAUUUAAUUUUUUUUGAGACAGAGUUUUACUCUCACUCUGUCCCCCAGGCUGGAGGGCAGUGGUGCGAUCUCAGCUCACUGCAACCUCCAGCAGAUGCUGCAUUUUAAAACUUAUGACUAAAAAUAGUAAUAAGAGUAUCUGCCAGAAGUAUUCAAAACCCAGCCUUCUUAGUAAGAGAGAAGAGAGCUUCAGAUGUGAACUAUACUUGGCUCAACCGCGUCUUUUUGACUUCUUCCUAUCUCCAGAGUAAUACAACUCUCUAAUUCUUGAGCUUGUUAUUUCUUCCUCUUAGAUUUCAAAGGAUGCUUUAAAUCCUCUGCUACUUUAAAAUGCUGGUUACCACUUCUUCCUCUUCCAG
rnacentral:lncRNA from 10 species